rnacentral:rRNA from 1 species
CCUACGGGCGGCAGCAGUGAGGAAUAUUGGUCAAUGGACGAGAGUCUGAACCAGCCAAGUAGCGUGAAGGAUGACUGCCCUAUGGGUUGUAAACUUCUUUUAUAAAGGAAUAAAACGAGGCACGUGUGCGUUUUUGCAUGUACUAUAUGAAUAAGGAUCGGCUAACUCCGUGCCAGCAGCCGCGGUAAUACGGAGGAUCCGAGCGUUAUCCGGAUUUAUUGGGUUUAAAGGGAGCGUAGAGGGGUUGUUAAGUCAGUUGUGAAAGUUUGCGGCUCAACCGUAAAAUUGCAAUUGAUACUGGCAGUCUUGAGUACAGUUGCGGUCGGCGGAAUUCGUGGUGUAGCGGUGAAAUGCUUAGAUAUCACG